rnacentral:rRNA from 1 species
UGCAGUCGAGCGGAACGAGUUAACUGACCCUUCGGGGGAACGUUAACGGCGUCGAGCGGCGGACGGGUGAGUAAUGCCUGGGAAAUUGCCCUGAUGUGGGGGAUAACCAUUGGAAACGAUGGCUAAUACCGCAUAAUAGCUUCGGCUCAAAGAGGGGGACCUUCGGGCCUCUCGCGUCAGGAUAUGCCCAGGUGGGAUUAGCUAGUUGGUGAGGUAAUGGCUCACCAAGGCAACGAUCCCUAGCUGGUCUGAGAGGAUGAUCAGCCACACUGGAACUGAGACACGGUCCAGACUCCUACGGGAGGCAGCAGUGGGGAAUAUUGCACAAUGGGCGCAAGCCUGAUGCAGCCAUGCCGCGUGUGUGAAGAAGGCCUUCGGGUUGUAAAGCACUUUCAGUCGUGAGGAAGGUAGUGUAUUUAAUAGAUGCAUUAUUUGACGUUAGCGACAGAAGAAGCACCGGCUAACUCCGUGCCAGCAGCCGCGGUAAUACGGAGGGUGCGAGCGUUAAUCGGAAUUACUGGGCGUAAAGCGCAUGCAGGUGGAUGAUUAAGUCAGAUGUGAAAGCCCGGGGCUCAACCUCGGAAUAGCAUUUGAAACUGGUCGUCUAGAGUACUGUAGAGGGGGGUAGAAUUUCAGGUGUAGCGGUGAAAUGCGUAGAGAUCUGAAGGAAUACCGGUGGCGAAGGCGGCCCCCUGGACAGAUACUGACACUCAGAUGCGAAAGCGUGGGGAGCAAACAGGAUUAUAUACCCUGGUAGUCCACGCCGUAAACGAUGUCUA